rnacentral:rRNA from 1 species
UAAGGAAUAUUGGUCAAUGGACGCAAGUCUGAACCAGCCAUGCCGCGUGAAGGAUGAAGGUCCUCUGGAUUGUAAACUUCUUUUAUAUGGGACGAAACCCGGGCAUUCCUGCCCGAUUGACGGUACCAUAGGAAUAAGCACCGGCUAACUCCGUGCCAGCAGCCGCGGUAAUACGGAGGGUGCAAGCGUUAUCCGGAUUCACUGGGUUUAAAGGGUGCGUAGGAGGGUAGGUAAGUCAGAGGUGAAAUCUCCGGGCUCAACUCGGAAACUGCCGUUGAUACUAUCUGUCUUGAAUACCGUGGAGGUGAGCGGAAUAUGUCAUGUAGCGGUGAAAUGCUUAGAUAUGACAUAGAACACCGAUUGCGAAGGCAGCUCACUACACGAAUAUUGACUCUGAGGCACGAAAGCGUGGGGAUCAAACAGGAUUAGAUACCCUGGUAGA